GCGGGGGGAGUUUAGUGGUAAAACCUCAGCCUUCCAAGCUGACGUCGUGAGUUCGAUUCUCAUCACCCGCUCCA
rnacentral:tRNA from 1 species